CUUUUUUGUUUGGAAUAAUAAAAUAGCUUUUCGAAAUGGUUUAUAUAUGUCUUUUGACUUCUUUCCAAUGAUGGUUUCCAGGCACCGUCUGCUUAGCUUUGAAACUUUGUUUUUGGAGUUCACUUUGGGCUCUUUGGGCUAUGAGCGAUAACGAGUUUUUUGAUUCUUCUCAAUUCACUGUUCUCUGGACUUCCGAUCCUCUAAUUCAUUCCGGAAAUUUAACUUAUUAUGAAGGUUUCGGAACCUUUUUAAAGGCCCCCUUUGCUAGAGUGCAAGAAAGAAAUUUUGAUAGCUGUACAACCCGGAAAAAUUUCUUAUCUUUACAAGAAGCUUCGGAAGCAUCGUCACAUUCUUCUCCCAUUUUGAAGUA